rnacentral:lncRNA from 1 species
UUUCAUAUUUUUUUUCUAUUUUCUUCUCUGUUUUCUAUAUACUCUAUUUUCCUUCCCAUUCGAAUUCUCUUCUUCUUCUUCUCACUUGAAAACCCUAGUCGUCGUACUUAGUUGUCUUUUUUAUUUUUAUUUUCUUUUAUUUUCUUUACCUUUUUAUCAAUUGAAAACCCGAAACGCUGUACUCAAUAGCCACUAAUGUCACCAUUUAUGGUGGCCUUUCGUGUCAAUUACGACACUAAAGA